UAGGGAAUCUUCGNCAAUGGACGAAAGUCUGACCGAGCAACGCCGCGUGAGUGAAGAAGGUUUUCGGAUCGUAAAGCUCUGUUGUAAGAGAAGAACGGGUGUGAGAGUGGAAAGUUCACACUGUGACGGUAUCUUACCAGAAAGGGACGGCUAACUACGUGCCAGCAGCCGCGGUAAUACGUAGGUCCCGAGCGUUGUCCGGAUUUAUUGGGCGUAAAGCGAGCGCAGGCGGUUAGAUAAGUCUGAAGUUAAAGGCUGUGGCUUAACCAUAGUACGCUUUGGAAACUGUUUAACUUGAGUGCAGAAGGGGAGAGUGGAAUUCCAUGUGUAGCGGUGAAAUGCGUAGAUAUAUGGAGGAACACCGGUGGCGAAAGCGGCUCUCUGGUCUGUAACUGACGCUGAGGCUCGAAAGCGUGGGGAGCGAACAGGAUUAGAUACCCUGGUAGUCCACGCCGUAAACGAUGAGUGCUAGGUGUUAGGCCCUUUCCGGGGCUUAGUGCCGCAGCUAACGCAUUAAGCACUCCGCCUGGGGAGUACGACCGCAAGGUUG
rnacentral:rRNA from 1 species